GGCGCGAUGGCGGAGUGGUUAACGCGAAAGACUAGAAAUCUUUUCCCUUCGGGGGCGUAGGUUCGAAUCCUGCUCGCGUCG